UACGAAGGGGGGCUAGCGUUGCUCGGAAUCACUGGGCGUAAAGCGCACGUAGGCGGAUUGUUAAGUCGGGGGUGAAAUCCUGGAGCUCAACUCCAGAACUGCCUUCGAUACUGGCGAUCUAGAGUCCGGGAGAGGUGAGUGGAACUGCGAGUGUAGAGGUGAAAUUCGUAGAUAUUCGCAAGAACACCAGUGGCGAAGGCGGCUCACUGGCCCGGUACUGACGCUGAGGUGCGAAAGCGUGGGGGAGCAAACAGG
rnacentral:rRNA from 1 species